rnacentral:rRNA from 1 species
UACGAGGGGGGCAAGCGUUGUUCGGAAUUAUUGGGCGUAAAGGGCGCGUAGGCGGUGCGGUAAGUCACCUGUGAAAACUCUGGGCUCAACUCAGAGCCUGCAGGCGAAACUGCCGUGCUUGAGUGUGGGAGAGGUGCGUGGAAUUCCCGGUGUAGCGGUGAAAUGCGCAGAUAUCGGGAGGAACACCGGUGGCGAAGGCGGUUCUCUGGGCCUUACCUGACGCUGAGGCGCGAAGGCCAGGGGAGCAAACGGG